UGUGGGAGCGAGCUUGCUCGCGAUGGCGUCAGGUCAGUCAGUAUCCAUAUUGACUGGUACACCGCUAUCGCGAGCAAGCUCGCUCCCACA
rnacentral:misc_RNA from 1 species